CGGAAGUAGCUCAGUGGUAGAGCAUCACCUUGCCAAGGUGGGGGUCGCGGGUUCGAGUCCCGUUUUCCG
rnacentral:tRNA from 2 species